UCGUCAGUUUCUAUAAUAUCUAAAUUCUAAAUCAAAAUGCAUAUCUGAUAUUAGCAUCAAACAAACAAUAUAAUUGAAAAUUAGGCCAUUAUUCAUCUGGCCCAUAUGUAUACAUCUUUUGUUAAGCCAACGACGUGAUAAAGUUUCCUUUUCUGGUGUGAAGGUGUUAUGAAUAAAGCUUAUUAUAAAAAGUUCACCUGUUUUCUUUCUCUCAAGAUGUUGAAUGAAGAGUUCGAGGGUCAGUGUUCAGAGCUGAGCUCUGCUCUUCAUUCGUUAACACUGGAAAACACUCGACUACAGACAGAAUAUCACCACAAAAUUAAGCUAUUUCUAUUUAAUUUCGGUUUUAAUGUCAAUUCAUCUCACUUGUAGAUUGUUAGAUUAGGCUGAUGACAAAAUGAUCCUUGAAAGCCAUUACCAAAACUACACAAGAUAAAAGAAAAUAUGAUUGUUAAUCACAGUUCUGACAUAAUGCACUGUAAAUGAGAUCAGGAUUUUAAUGUUUGUAAUCAUCAGCUCUUUUUAUUUCUCUCAAAGGGAGGCACUGAAGGCAGAUCAUGGCAAACUGCAGCAGAGUUCCACCGUUUCCCCGGAGACGGCUGUCAAUCAUCAGCAGAUGCUGGAACGCAGCAUCCAGAGGCUUCAGGGGGAGCUCAGCUGUGCUGUGAAAGAUGGAGAGACCCUGAGAGAAGAGAGUGAUCAGAUAAAGAGGAAGGUGGAGUUGUGCAUGGUGAACUCAGCACUGCAGAAACAGAAGGAGGACAACAAGGAGCUGAUGGAGAGCCUUGCAGCCUUGGAGCAUCAGCAGGUAACUCAUCGUCAGAUUGAACAGAUGCUUUGGGACUUGACAGACAGCGAGAACAAACUGGCCUAUGAGAAGGGCAAGCUGCAGGCGCGAGUGCAGCAGAUGGCCACUGACCUGAAGACAUUGAAAGCAGAAUACGCAGAGAGAAAUCAGACACUAAAAGAGCAACUCUGUGCAGCAACACCACAGAGACACUGUGAGUUUUUCAUAAGAAGGACAGUUGGAACCUAUUAGUUGAAUUAACAAAAGAUAAAUUUUUAUGUUUUGUGCGUAACAGAAUGAAGUAGCACAAACUUUGGAGAAAGUCCUGUCGUCUCACUCUCGUCUGCAGCAGAACACACGGACACUGAUGCAGAGCUAAGAGAAAGAGCACAGGAACUACACACACUCAGGAGAGAGAGGUGUGUGUGAGAGAGACUACAAGAGGACAAACGUCUGAUUAAAGGAUCAGGGUCAAUACAACUUAACGGGGGACUCGUUUUUUGUUGCACUAGCCAAUAUGGCAGGACUUGUGGCAUGGAUGUAGGGAGCAUUACCCAAAAGUUUUCAGUGUAUCUCAUUGUAGCAGUGCUGUUUUCACAGUGAGCAUGUUUAAAGGAAUAGUUCAACCAAAAAUGUACAUUUUUUGAAAAUGUACACACCCUCAGGCAAUCCAAGACAUAGAUGAGUUUGUUUCUUAAUGGGAACAGAUUUUGAGAAAUUUAACAUUGCAUCACUUGCUCACCGAUGGAUGCUCUGCAGUGAAUGGGUGCCGUCAGAAUGAGAGUCCAAACAGCUGAUAAAAACAUCACAAUAAUUCACAAGUAAACCACAGCACUCCAGUCCAUCAAUUAACAUAUUCUGAAGCAUGUUUGUAAGAAACAAAUCUAUCGUCAAGGCGUUUUAACUUUAAACUGUCAUAAACCAUCUUAAACCGUUUCACUCAUUAGCUGAAAGGAAAUUAUAACCAUACUAACACAGUUAAAAGGAAAAUUUAGAAACCAGCUCAAAGUAACAUAUUUUUAUUUGGAAAACUUAAUAAAAAGCUUUAAUAUUUGCUCA
ensembl:lncRNA